CCAAGGAGUCUAACAUGUGCGCGAGUCAUGGGGUUUUUUGUUUACGAAACCCAAAGGCAUGAAUGAAAGUGAAGGCAGCCUCGGGUUUUGCCUAGGUAGGAUCCCGUUCCCCUCUGCGGGAAUCGGGCGCACUACCGGCCCGUCUCGUUCGCAUUGCGUCGAAGAGGCGGAGCUAGAGCGUACACGUUGGGACCCGAAAGAUGGUGAACUAUGCCUGAGUAGGACGAAGCCAGAGGAAACUCUGGUGGAGGUCCGUAGCGAUUCUGACGUGCAAAUCGAUCGUCAAACUUGGGUAUAGGGGCGAAAGACUAAUCGAACCAUCUA
rnacentral:rRNA from 1 species